CGGACCAAGGAGUCUGACAUGCGUGCGAGUCGACGGGUUUUGAAACCUGGGAUGCGCAAGGAAGCUGACGAGCGGGAGGCCCUCACGGGCCGCGCCGCUGGCCGACCCUGAUCUUCUGUGAAGGGUUCGAGUUGGAGCACGCCUGUCGGGACCCGAAAGAUGGUGAACUAUGCCUGAGCGGGGCGAAGCCAGAGGAAACUCUGGUGGAGGCUCGAAGCGAUACUGACGUGCAAAUCG
rnacentral:ncRNA from 1 species